UGGGAACGUGCCCUUUGGUUCGGAAUAACUCAGGGAAACUUGAGCUAAUACCGAAUAAGCCCUUACGGGGAAAGAUUUAUUGCCGAAGGAGCGGCCCGCGUCCGAUUAGCUAGUUGGUGAGGUAACGGCUCACCAAGGCUACGAUCGGUAGCUGGUCUGAGAGGAUGACCAGCCACACUGGGACUGAGACACGGCCCAGACUCCUACGGGAGGCAG
rnacentral:rRNA from 1 species